UAGCUAGUUGGUGAGGUAAAGGCUUACCAAGGCGACGAUCUGUAGCGGGUCUGAGAGGAUGAUCCGCCACACUGGAACUGAGACACGGUCCAGACUCCUACGGGAGGCAGCAGUGGGGAAUUUUGGACAAUGGGGGCGACCCUGAUCCAGCCAUGCCGCGUGAGUGAAGAAGGCCUUCGGGUUGUAAAGCUCUUUCGGCCGGGAAGAAAUCGCAUGGGCCAAUACCCUGUGUGGAUGACGGUACCGGAAUAAGAAGCACCGGCUAACUACGUGCCAGCAGCCGCGGUAAUACGUAGGGUGCGAGCGUUAAUCGGAAUUACUGGGCGUAAAGCGUGCGCAGGCGGUUUUGUAAGACAGGCGUGAAAUCCCCGGGCUUAACCUGGGAACUGCGUUUGUGACUGCAAGGCUAGAGUACGGCAGAGGGGGGUGGAAUUCCACGUGUAGCAGUGAAAUGCGUAGAGAUGUGGAGGAACACCAAUGGCGAAGGCAGCCCCCUGGGUCGAUACUGACGCUCAUGCACGAAAGCGUGGGUAGCAAACAGGAUUAGAUACCCUGGUAGUCCACGCCCUAAACUAUGUCAACUAGGUGUUGGGUGGGUAAAACCAUUUAGUACCGUAGCUAACGCGUGAAGUUGACCGCCUGGGGAGUACGGCCGCAAGGUUAAAACUCAAAGGAAUUGACGGGGACCCGCACAAGCGGUGGAUGAUGUGGAUUAAUUCGAUGCAACGCGAAAAACCUUACCUACCCUUGACAUGCCAGGAACUUGCCAGAGAUGGCUUGGUGCCCGAAAGGGAGCCUGGACACAGGGGCUGCAUGGCUGUCGUCAGCUCGUGUCGUGAGAUGUUGGGUUAAGUCCCGCAACGAGCGCAACCCUUGUCGUUAAUUGCCAUCAUUUAGUUGGGCACUUUAACGAGACUGCCGGUGACAGACCGGAGGAAGGUGGGGAUGACGUCAAGUCCUCAUGGCCCUUAUGGGUAGGGCUUCACACGUCAUACAAUGGUCGGUACAAAGGGUUGCCAAGCCGCGAGGCGGAGCCAAUCCCAGAAAGCCGAUCGUAGUCCGGAUUGCAGGCUGCAACUCGCCUGCAUGAAGUCGGAAUCGCUAGUAAUCGUGGAUCAGCAUGUCACGGUGAAUACGUUCCCGGGUCUUGUACACACCGCCCGUCACACCAUGGGAGCGGGUUCCGCCAGAAGUAGGUAGCCUAACCGCAAGGGGGGCGCUUACCACGGCGGGGUUCGUGACUGGGGUGAAGUCGUAACAAGGUAGCCGUAGGGGAACCUGCGGCUG
rnacentral:rRNA from 1 species